GAUGAAGAACGUAGCGAAAUGCGAUACGUAGUGUGAAUUGCAGAAUUCAGUGAAUCAUCGAAUCUUUGAACGCACAUUGCACCUCUCGGUAUUCCGGGAGGUAUGCCUGUUCGAGCGUCAUUUGUACCCUCAAGCUCUGCUUGGUGUUGGGUGUUUGUUCCGCCUCUGUGUGUGAACUCGCCUCAAAACAAUUGGCAGCCGGCGUACUUGUUUCGGAGCGCAGCACAUUUUGCGAUCCAGAUCAACGUACAGCGGCAUCCAAGAAGCCUUAUUUAACGCUCUUGACCUCGGAUCAGGUAGGGAUACCCGCUGAACUUAAGCAUAUCAAUAAGCAGAGGA
rnacentral:misc_RNA from 1 species